rnacentral:rRNA from 1 species
CAUAGCGUAUAUUAAAGUUGUUGCAGUUAAAAAGCUCGUAGUUGAACCUCUGGCGGAUGUCUUCGCUGGCUUCGGUCGCGUUGAUGUCUGUCAUCCGCUAGGGAACCUCGUUCGGUCUUCAUUGGUCGGCGGGAGGAUCUGGCAUUUUACUUUGAAAAAAUUAGAGUGUUCAAGGCAGGCAAUCGCCAUGAAUACACAAGCAUGGAAUAAUGGAAUAGGACUUAUGGUCAUUUUAUUGGUUAUUGACUGUAAGUAAUGAUUAAUANGGACAGUUGGCGGCAUUAGUAUUUAAUUGUCAGAGGUGAAAUUCUUGGAUUUAUUAAAGACUAACUUAUGCGAAAGCAUUUGCCAAGGAUGUUUUCAUUAAUCAAGAACGAAAGUUAGGGGAUCAAAGACGAUCAGAUACCGUCCUAGUCUUAACUAUAAACUAUACCGACUAAGGAUUAGCUAGGUCUCUCGAGCCUAGUUAGCACUUUAUGAGAAAUCAAAGUCUUUGGGUUCUGGGGGGAG